rnacentral:rRNA from 1 species
ACGCUGGCGGCACGCCUAAUACAUGCAAGUCGAACGAAGUAGCAAUACUUAGUGGCAGACGGGUGAGUAACAUGUAGGUAUCUUCCCUUUGGUGAGGAAUAACACGAGGAAACUUGUGCUAAUACCUCAUAAGUCUUUACGGAGAAAGCUUUAUGCGCCAUUGGAUGAGCCUGCACUUGAUUAGUUUGUUGGUGGGGUAAUGGCCUACCAAGACAAUGAUCAAUAGCUGAUUUGAGAGGAUGAUCAGCCACAUUGGGACUGAGACACGGCCCAAACUCCUACGGGAGGCAGCAGUAGGGAAUCUUGCACAAUGGGGGAAACCCUGAUGCAGCGAUGCCGCGUGAGUGAAGAAGGCCCUUGGGUUGUAAAGCUCUUUCGUCGGGGAAGAAAAUGACUGUACCCGAAUAAGAAGGUCCGGCUAACUUCGUGCCAGCAGCCGCGGUAAUACGAAGGGACCUAGCGUAGUUCGGAAUUACUGGGCUUAAAGAGUUCGUAGGUGGUUAAAAAAGUUGGUGGUGAAAUCCCAGAGCUUAACUCUGGAACUGCCAUCAAAACUUUUUAGCUAGAGUAUGAUAGAGGAAAGCAGAAUUUCUAGUGUAGAGGUGAAAUUCGUAGAUAUUAGAAAGAAUACCAAUUGCGAAGGCAGCUUUCUGGAUCAUUACUGACACUGAGGAACGAAAGCAUGGGUAGCGAAGAGGAUUAGAUACCCUCGUAGUCCAUGCCGUAAACGAUGUGUGUUAGACGUUGGAAAUUUAUUUUCAGUGUCGCAGCGAAAGCAAUAAACACACCGCCUGGGGAGUACG